GAUGAACGCUGGCAGCGUGCCUAAUACAUGCAAGUCGAGCGAACAGACGAGGAGCUUGCUCCUCUGACGUUAGCGGCGGACGGGUGAGUAACACGUGGAUAACCUACCUAUAAGACUGGGAUAACUUCGGGAAACCGGAGCUAAUCCCGGAUAAUAUAUUGAACCGCAUGGUUCAAUAGUGAAAGACGGUUUUGCUGUCACUUAUAGAUGGAUCCGCGCCGCAUUAGCUAGUUGGUAAGGUAACGGCUUACCAAGACAACGAUGCGUAGCCGACCUGAGAGGGUGAUCGGCCACACUGGAACUGAGACACGGUCCAGACUCCUACGGGAGGCAGCAGUAGGGAAUCUGCCGCAAUGGGCGAAAGCCUGACGGAGCAACGCCGCGUGAGUGAUGAAGGUCUUCGGAUCGUAAAACUCUGUUAUUAGGGAAGAACAAAUGUGUAAGUAACUAUGCACGGCUUGACGGUACCUAAUCAGAAAGCCACGGCUAACUACGUG
rnacentral:rRNA from 1 species